GUAAUACUUAUCAGUGCCACGCCCACCAUCCCUCGUCCCCACCACACGCGCAAAAAUCAAAGAGAGUUCCUUAUAACAAAAUAGUGAGCCCUUACCGACUGCUACCAGUACUACUUUCUCACUGCAAAAAGUCUUGCAUGUACGAGUUCUUUCAUUUUGGUUGAAAUCAUCAUCUUCCUCGGAAUGUUCUUCUUUUUCUUGAACUUAAUUUUGAGUGAGUAGGUGCAAGAUAUACUGGGAAUUUUUUUGCAUAUUCACUAGAUCACCAGCUAUUGCCAGGGAUUUCAUUUUCUCUCAAAUUCAACAGAUCACUUGUUGCCAUAGCGGUCAUUCUCUCCAAACUUAUGCCUGUUGUAUCGAUGCGAGCUUCCCUUGACAAAGUUUCGAGAGGAAGAAGGUACCAUGACGAACAUCUCCUUCAGCAGUAGCACUAGUUGCUUCGAUGUUGCUCGGGAGUAUCUGGACGACUUAGACGGUGCGUCCAAAUGUCUGUUCGAAUCUCAUAUCUGGGAGCUGAAGAUGGGGAUAAGUCUAUUGGAAACAUUUGAUCUGUAUAUUAGAAAGUUUAGGAGGAAGAGGAGCAAAGAGUGUAUGUGUUUGGAAUAUGAUAAGGAGGACAGGGGUGAUGCUGAGUCUGACAGUUUGAGGCUCAGCAGUAUCUCUUUCAGGAUUCAGGAUCUGGUUAGUGGAAUAAAGCAUGAACUUGGCUCAGCAGUAUCGCUUGAUGACACCAAACGCAAGCUCGGCAGAUUCGAGGAAAAUAUGCGGUUGAUUUUUGAUUCAGACAUCAAGGAAUCCAACAUCUGUAGUUUAUUGCUUCACAACUUGCUUGGAGAUUUCCAACUGGUUAUGGAUAUCACUGAUUCCAUUUUAGAGAAUCUGAGGCAUCUUUGCACCAGAAAUUACAGGGAUGAUGGAGCUCUGCAAAGUGUAAUGGGAACCCUUCAAGAGAAGCUAAUGUUCUUGAAGAGUUUCAUUUGCUUUGCAACAUUACAUGGUGUUAAGGGUCAGCAAUUAGUAGAUCUGUUAGUUCACAUUGAAGUUGUGGCCAUUAAUGCUGCAAGCCUGAUCUCUACAUCUUGGUUUCAGAGAAAUGAUGAAAAGGUGUGCAACGAGAUGGAAUCUGAAAUUUCUCAACUGAUACAAAAGAAGAUUGAUCCCGUUGAUCUCCAAGUCCGAGAAACUUAUAUCCACGUCUUGACAGCGUCCAAGUUGUCACCAUCAUCACACACUUUAGCCCUGGAGAAGAAUAAGCACCUAGUGGCCGAAUUUAUUGAUGAUCUUUUACAUAUUAUUAUGGAGCUAACAGAAUCUUACACCAGUUUCUUGGUUCCGGUGAAGGAUCAAUUACUAAAACUUUAUGAGGGAGCAAGAUUCCUGAGUGUCCUUCUCAGCCAGCAGCACGAGAAAUUCGAUAAGCUAAAUGAUGAAAUGAAGGAUCGUAUUGGAUUUGUACUCUGUGAUGCUGGAAUUGUGAUUUUCUCCCUUUAUAAGAGUGAAAUGACAGAAAGCUUGCCCAAGGAAAUAGAUCUUGUGGCUUCUCAUAUGCUCGAACUGCUCAAGCUCAUUAUUCCAGAAAUUGAACAGAUUUGUCCACAACAACCACCAUCAUCAUCAAUUAGUUUCCCUAGGACUAAUGAGCUGGGCUCUAUUGAUUUUCUUUUAGAAACUCUCGAGGAACUUGAAAGUUCUACAGCUAAUUCAAUUGCUUUCCCAAAUAAUCAAAUCCACACAGUUCGUGAAGAUCUUGAUUUCUUAAGACCUUUCCUAGGCAAGAUUGCAGAGCAGCGGAAGGGGAAUGAAAAACUCCAAGCUCUUUGGAGUCGUAUUAGUGAGCUGGCAUACAGGGCAGAAAUAAUCAUUGACUCUACACUACUUGGUGGCAAACAUCAACAUUGUUUGGAUGUUAUUGCUGGAGAUAUCAAGCUUAUGAAGAUUGAGGCCAAAGAGAUUUAUGAUAACAUACGAUUUGACUGUGAAACCCAGAGUAUUGUCAAGACUACAAUUCACAUGCCAUCACAAGUUACUGCUCCAAUAUUUAAUGAAGCUGUGGUGGGUCUCAAUGAUGAGGGGGAAAUUAUAAUUGAUGGACUUGUAAGGGGACCAAGCCGGUUGGAUAUUGUUGCCAUUGUGGGUAUGCCUGGUCUUGGUAAGACAACAUUAGCCAAUAAAGUUUAUGGUGAUCCAUUGGUAAAGUCCCACUUUCACAUUCGUUCUUGGUGUUGUUUUUCUCGAGCAUAUACCAAGCAUAGUUUGUUAGUUCAAAUGUUGUGUAAUAUCGAUUGUGGGAACUCAGCUGGAUAUCUUCGGAGAGAUGAAGAUUACAUGGCUAACAGGCUACGCAAAUUGUUGAAGGGAAAUAGGUAUCUCAUAGUUCUGGAUGAUGUUUGGGACAUUCGGGGUUGGGAUUUAUUGAAACUCUCACUGCCAGAUGAUUGCAAUGGAAGCAGGAUUCUCUUAACCAGUAGAUUGCAGGAAUUGUCAUUGCAAAUUAAACUUGAUAGUGAGCCUCACCAUCUUCGCCCACUUACAGAUAAUGAAAGCUGCGAAUUGCUGCAGAAAAAGCUAUUUGCCAAAGAAGAUUGUCCUCCAAUAUUAAGUAAUGUUUUACUGCAUGCAGCAAAAAACUGUAAAGGCCUACCUCUCACAGUUGUCCUUGUUGCCGGAAUUCUUGCUACUACUGAGCAAGAUUGCUGGGAAGAAGUUGUAAAACAUUUAACUUCCAGCAUUUUUGUUGACAAUGAAUAUUGCAUGAAGACAAUUGAAUUAAGUUACAAUAAUUUACCAGAUUAUUUGAAACCAUGCCUUCUUUACUUCGGUGCAUUUCAAGAAGACCAAGAAAUUCCUAUCCGAAGGUUGUUAUGGAUUUGGAUCUCUGAAGGAUUCGUGCAAAAGACUGAAGGAAAGAGCUUAGAGGAUGUGGCAGAUGACUAUUUGAUGGAUCUGGUUAGGAGAAGUUUAGUUAUGGCUACCCAACAAAGAUCUUCAGGUGGGAUCAAAGCUUGCCGAAUCCAUGAUUUGGUACAUGAGUUUUGCGUGGCGAAAGCUAAAGAAGAAAGUUUUCUACAGAUUUUACAUGUGGGUAACCUUUUAACUUUUACUGGACCAUGUAACCUCCAUCGAUUGUCUAUUCACCCCACCAUGACUAUGGGGCCUACAAAAUCAAGACUGUUUUCUCCCAAUUUGCGUUGUUUGCUCUUCUGUGGUGAUAGUCAUACACAGCUGGAUAAGAAUUCAUUCAAAUUUCUGCUGUCUAAACUUCUUAGAGUGCUGGAUUUCUGGAACAAUUCUUAUCCGACUUCAUAUUUUCCAAGGGAAGUAGUAUUCCUCGUUCACUUGAGGUACUUGAGAAUUGGAAGGUUUGCUGGGGAUAUCCCAUCUGCAAUAGCCAACCUCUCAAGGUUAGAAACUUUUGUAGUAGAAGCACGCGCUGAAGAUUAUGUGUUACCAAACACUAUCUGGAACAUUGAAACAUUGAGGCAUCUUGUCACAUCAUUGCCCGCCUGUGGUUUCAUAUUUCCCAAGGACAAUCUUGAAGGCUCCCCUGAUUUAAAACAUUUAGACACUUUAAGUCUUGCAAUGAAUCCCUAUUCUCAAAGUGCACAAAAGAUACUGUCAAAGUUACAGAGCACCCGCAGGCUAACAAUAGCGACAUACGAAAGUUACCGAGCAAUCGAAUCUGGUGGAAAUCACGGGGAGAUUCUCAUGCUGAACUACAUGAGUCGACUAGAAUCACUUAAGAUAAGCAGGAUGAGUAGAGAUGAGUUUGAAUUCUCAUUGAAUUUGAAUUUGAAAAAGUUGACUCUCUCCUAUAAUUAUUGGCCGUGGAGUAAAAUUUCUGCAAUUGGAAGAAAGCUGCCCAACCUUGUAGUGCUUAAAUUAUGCCAUCGUUCCGUUCGGGAGGAAGAAUGGGAAAUGGCAGAAGGGGAAUUCUGUAACCUCCGAUUUUUGAAAUUGUCAGGGUUGUACAUUCGCAGGUGGACUGCCUCUUCUGAUAAUUUUUCCUGUCUUGAGAAAUUGGUUUUGGAGUUUUGUGAGGAGCUGGAAGAGGUCCCUCCUUGUUUAGGGGAAAGCGUCACUCUUAAAAUGAUUGAGUUGAAAAGGUGUAGUGAGUCUGCUGUAAAUUCUGUGGAGCAAAUUCUGCAAGAACAGAGAGAAUGGGGAAACAAGGACUUAAAGAGCGUCAUUAUUAGAUCUACUCAGAAAGGGAGUCAAAGCAGAGAAGAAUUCCACUCAUGAGAUUGGUAUGAUCCUUCAAACCAACUGAGCACAAGCAUAAAUGUCAGGAGCAAUUCUGUUGCAUUUUUGAAAGAAUAAGCAGCAUCAACACUUCAAAUUUUUCGAGGUCCAAUAUUUGUUGGUUGCUGAUCAAAGUGGGAAGAGAAGAUCUUUCAAGAAGGGAAAAAAGUACGGUGAAAUAGAUGGAAGAGAAAAAUAUCCUAACUUCUGACUCAUAGAUCAACUGCCAGCUAGAGAAAAUUGGAAAUGAGCAAAAGGCAGGAGUACCAACUGGAUGAAUAUCUUGAUGAAGUAUCCAUUAAUAUAUACUUGUUGGAAUGGGACGGGUGAGCUCAGGAAAGUGGUCUCUACCUCUCUGCAAAUGGCUAUGACAAAUGAUGCCUGAAAGUGAAACUAGCAUUUAAUGAUUCCAUGAUGCCUCUACCAUGAUUCUGCGUUGGUGCAUUGAUAAGUUUGUUGUACAAGUCGUUUUCUAACACUUCAGAAGGCGAACUACAUCAUUGAUUAUAAGUUGCUCAUACUAGUUGUGCAUUAUCCACGUAACUUCCGCUCUUCUAGGAUUGGCUAUGAAAGAUGUUUGUGCAGCAUCUACUUAUUCACUCUCUCUCAUCUUUUGCCGGUCAGUGGAAAGGAGGGUUAUCUGGAAGAUAGCCUGAUAGUCAUUGUCUAUAUAAGAAGUUGAUGCUCAAUGCUGUCAAAAUUUGUCUUGUGCCAUUUGAUAUAAGAUCUGAAAUGGUCAAAGGGUAAAUAUAAUUUGAUGCUAAACUGGCACAGCCAAAGUGGUUUGUUCGUGUCUAAUUCUUAUGCUUUGUUGUGAAAAUUGUAAUGAAAGCCAUUCGUUCAGGUAGUUCUUCAUACUUCCAUUAGCCUUUAAUCUGGAAUUUACUUCACCUGCUUGGUGUUUUGCAGUCAAUAUAUGUUCUCUCUGUUCUUCUCCAACAAUUGCAUCUUUAGAAUUGAAAGACAUUUGGAAGGACCAAAAGUACUAGUCCUACCUUUUUUCUGACGAUACUCAAGAGCAGAUGGUCCAAUUUAGUGUUAGCUUUGUGAUUUACCAAAUAUCUUUACAGUUUUCCCAAUUUAAGGUCCUCCAAGAAUGAGCAUCUGACGUUAAACAGAUAUUGGAACUAUACUCAAAGCUAUUUGCCUGCAAUUGUCAGGUUUAUGUGCUCCAAUUCUCUAUUUUUUUUCUUCUAUUAGUUUGUUUGAUUGAUUCAAUCACCCAAUGGAGCAGAGUUCUACAUAUACAGAAGGACAACCUAAAUAAAACCACAAAGUAGUGCAGCAUGCAUGAAUGACUUGACAGUCUUCAUGCACUACUGGCCUGCAGCAAAUGCCUUAACCAGCCAAGUAUUUAUGAUGCUGUCAAGGUUCUUCAAUUGAAUAUUUCCAGCGGAUGGAUCAUCUAGUAUUUUAUCACCCACUGGAGGCUUUGCAUGAGCUACUUAACCUUCAUGCCCUUCCUGUUUUUGAUAUUGUUCUUGACAGGAAGGGGAACAAGUCUUGCAAGAAUAGCACUAAAAAUUUCAUUUGCCGUUAAUGAAGUGGAAAUGAUUGUUGUAAAUUUGUAAUCAAGUGAAAAAUAUUUGAAUUGCAAGUUUUUUUUUUUCUUAAAAGGAAAACUGUAUAUACUGAAUUGAAUUGGAUAGUGUGUACCCCUCAGUCUUUAACUUGGAAUACAUGAUGGAGAUUUGAGAAGUAUAAGAAGGAUAAAAUUCUAGUUCUUGUUUAUGGUAUUUGUGUCUGUUUUUGUUCGUUACAUGAAUAUAAUUUCGCAUAAUACUGAUAACAACAACAUUCACAAGAUAAUGCUCAUUAUUUACAAUUUGUUCAAAAUACUUUACAAUGAUAAUAUACAAUUUACAGUCUGUUGGAAACUUUAUACAUUGUCCACCUCCCCACUUUUUUCCCUCACUCUUUUUCUUUACAUCUUUCUCCCCAGUCUCCAUAACUAAACCAAAAUUCUCCACAAAAAUUCAUAAGGUCAGUUCAUUUUGAUGAAUUAGCGUUGCCUAAUUACUAAAACUACCCAAACUUGAGCCGAACAAUAAUGUUUUCCAUUUUCCCUUCUUUUCUCUGUAGCCAUGCCCACCAAAAUUAGGCAACCAAUAUGGCCAAUAACAGAGAUUACUAGUGCAAUGAUGUCAAGCAAUCCAGAACAAUGAAAAUGUGAGACUUUAGCCGUGUUUUGCUCAUUUUGCAUAUGUUCUACGAAAUGGUUGAACUUUCUAUUCAUACUAUGUCUUAAGAAAAAUCCUGUUUUGAUUGAAGGAAAUUGUAAUGCUAGCCAUCAAUCAUGAAAAAUGUCUCUUUCUCAUUUCAACCUCUGAUGCCCAUUUACUUCUGGCUUGUCUACCUUUUACUUUGACAUCUCCGAUAAAUUGAUUGAAGUUCAUUUUGUUCAUUUAUGGUGCUUCAUGGAUCUUAGAUUAGUUCAAUAUUUACACUGCAGUAAUCUUCCUUUUUUUUUUUUUUAAGUUACGGAUUUGAUAUCCUAUUGUAAUGGCUCUGGAAAAUAAUUCACAUUUUGAAUUGCCUCAUCAAAAUUGCAGCCUUACGGCACUACCAAAUCUUUACCCCCCCCCCCC